GACUAUACGGAAGCAAGGAAUUCUAGGAGGAGGAAGCAGUAUUCUUAAAGUAAUGGAGAUGCAAAAGAGAUUCCCAUUUUAUGCUAGUUUCUGCUUCUAAAAUAACUGCCUUUGUUUUUCAUAACCAGUCCUACCAUUACACAACUUUGCUGCUGUAUCUUUUCAAAAUUUUUGUGACCUCAUCUAAUCCUCUUCUAAUUUACUUAGUGACUCUUAUUGUUUUCUACCAAAUGGUGAACUUUCUACUGAUUAUAAACAUUUGGGAAUAUGAAAGCACUAUUCAAAGUCACAGGAGAAGGUAAUACAUUUCUGUGGCUCAGAUAAGUUUAAUAACUCCCUCAAGGUCAUACAGUUACUAAAUGUUGCAUCCAGAAGAUGCAGCAAAAUAUUAGCAAUGAAAAUGCUGAUGGUUUCAGUGAGAAAUCAGAGUCAGAUGUGGUAAAAACCUUCAGGCUAAAUUUGACCCCACAUUUCCUGACGAUUUUUGGUCAUGGCAGGCAGGAGCAGGAGUUCUAGCAGAGAUGCUCCUGAGUGAGGCUGGUCUCAGAAUUUUGUUCAUGCCUUUAUUGCUUAAAUAACCAGAGUUUAAGACUCAACUUUAACUUCAGACAUCUGUAACAAGAACAACAAAAUAACAAUAGCAACAACAACAACAAAAAUUCCGGAAAACUUACAAGCACUGUUCUAAGUUUUACCUGUAUGAACUGAAUGAAUCUUCAAGAAAACCUUCUUGGCUCUCAGGGAGUUCUUUUGAGUCCUCACCAAUACUCCUGGAGCUCCCGUAAAUAUUACUACCUCAGAUCUGAAGCUUGUUUGAAAAUUGAAUCCUGGCUGCAGUGUUGAUCUGUAAUACUCAAGAUCCUUGGCAUAUUCUCAUUACAACCUGCUGAAACCAACUAUAUAAGUGUUCGGAAGUAAAAUCAUCGUUAUGCAGAUUCCACAUUUUCUAUAUCUAUUUUCUAUGUCCUGAAGGAUCCAUCUCAGGAUACUACAUUGCAUUUAGUCAUCAUGUCUCCUUAAUAUUCUCCAACUGACAAUGUCGGAGUUGUUCCUCGUCUUCCAUGACCUUGGUACUUUUGAGGAUUACUGGUCAGAUAUUCUAUAGAAUGUCCCUCAACUUAGGUCUGCCUGACUUUUCUCAUGAUUAAACUGAGGUUAUGGAUUUGGAGACAGUCCCACAGAAGUCAUGUGGCCAUUUCAGUGUAUUGCUGCAUGAUACCAACAUGACUUAAUACUGGUGAUAUUAACCUCGAUCACUUGGUUAAGGUCAUGUCUGCCAGCUUUGUUCAUGGUCUUCUAUCUAAUAGAAGCAAGUCAAUAAGUCCAGUUCAUACUCAAGAUGAGAGGAAUUAACUUUAACUUACUAGUGAGAAAUUUAUUAAAAAGUUUUUAGACAUAUGUCAGAACCACCAAAAUAAUUAAUAAAUGUUUUGGGAAGAUAUAAA